CCCCGACUGCUUCUAUUUAUACCAAGAAGCUUUCCGUCAUUUAUUUUUUCUCUUGCUGUUCUUCUUCCAUUUUUCUUCUGUUACAUUCCACCUGUUCGAUUUUCCAUGAACAUCCCGUUUCUUAUUUUUCCCAAUUUUUUCAGGGUUUUUAGGGUUUUCACUCGAUUCAGAAUAUCCUCCAACACUUCCCCCUCUAGCAGUUCUAGGAGUUCGUCCAUUCCAGCCCUCCAAAAUCUUAGUUCUGUAGAUGAACCUCAUCCGAUCUUUGUACCAGACACCAUUCCUAGCUCUCUGACUUCGAAAUAACUCUCACUGAUUAGGAUUCAGUAUGAGGUUCCUUCGAAGUACGAGCUGGAGCUCCCCGAGCCGACUGGCUGGGCCAGCGCUCCUCCCCCCGAUUGCUUCUAUUUAUACCAAGAAGCUUUCCGCAUCGGACUUCGACUUUUGCUUCCAUCAUUUGUU
rnacentral:lncRNA from 1 species